UGUCUUUUAUUUUAUUUUUAGGUACUUGCACUCACCUUUUACAGUAAUAGUAUCUAAUAGUUCCUCAGGAUAAGGGUGCAUCUUGUUAUUAUAUGAAUAUAUCUUUUUAUUAUUAUUUGUUACUUGUCAGGACACCUCCAUCUUAUAUUAUCAGCUGAUCCCCUGGUACUUUCACCCGGGGCCAGCCAGCGACGCGCGAGGUUAGAAACUCAUCGUAACAGCGUCAGUCGUUGACAAUUUGAAACUGGACGAUAUUUUCCUCUAGUGUUGGUAUGUAUGUCGAGCUUAUCCUUACGGCUUUGGCAAAGCUAGUCUGCUGUCCAAUCCAGACUAGCUUUUACAAUUGCAUAAGUUUAUUAAAGCCACCAGAGAGCUGGGUGUUCGAAGAUGUCGUCCGGUAUCGGAGGAGAGCUGCGCGUGAGAUGGUUGCGCG